CAGGAUAAUUCAUUUACAGGUUCUGCUCUUGCCUGUCUCCAGUGCGUUUUUCCCCAAUAUAAGUGGAAUUUACAUGCACCUCAAUCAUAUGCUUUUAUGUAAUGAUCACAAUAUAGUUAAUUAGCUCUCUUAAGUAUCUUCUAUAAUGUGGGUAUCUUACCAAUAGCUUUUACUUGCAUCACGUUUUAUUUUAAGUCACUCCCACAUCUGGUAUUUCUUGUAACAAGUUCUGGUCAAGUUUAACAUAACAUUAAUCAAAAAGCUUCUUGAUUAACCAAUCUUUGAUUGUACUCUUCUCAGGGGUUGCUGAAGGUUAUGUUG
rnacentral:misc_RNA from 1 species